UCAUGUUGAUCGAGAUGAAAGAUUGACAUGUACGCUCUUUGGCUGUCAUCAGCCUUGAUUGUAAUAAUUUUUUUUUGUUCUACUUAGUCUGUUUAAUUGGAAGAAAAGUAUCUCUUGAUGUCCAUUUUUUUUUUAAUACCAAUAAUUGUCACAAUCGUAAAAUUUGAUGAUUUUCUAUUUGAUCGUACAUCUGCAUUGUUCGUGUUCAUUCCGUGUAAUUUAUUGCUUAUUUUGAAAUUGACAAGGAAGGGA